GACCUGCACGAAUGGCGUAACGACUUCCCCGCUGUCUCCAGCAUAGACUCAGCGAAAUUGAAUUCUCCGUGAAGAUGCGGAGUACCCGCGGUCAGACGGAAAGACCCCGUGCACCUUUACUACAGCUUGACAGUGGUAUUGGCGAUUAUUUGUGUAGGAUAGGCGGGAGUCUAUGAAACCAGGGCGCCAGUUCUGGUGGAGACAUCCUUGAAAUACCGCCCUGAUGAUUGUUAAUAUCUAACCGCGGCCCAUGAACCUGGGUCCGGGACCCUGUCUGGUGGGUAGUUUGACUGGGGCGGUCUCCUCCUAAAGAGUAACGGAGGAGCACUAAGGUU
rnacentral:rRNA from 12 species